rnacentral:tRNA from 1 species
GAAAAAUUAGUUAAAUUUUUAACAUAAAAUUGUCAAUUUUAAAUUACUAUAUCAUAGUAUUUUUCU